rnacentral:sRNA from 1 species
GUGAGCUGGCGGCGGGGGAGGCGGGCAGCGGAGCCCAGCAGACCCGGCGAGCGGAGCUGCGGCUGGAGAGCGGCGACCACUGCGGAUCUCGGAAAGAAGAAAUGAUGUAAAUCACUCACUAUCCAAACUUUAAGGUCAAAGGUGAGAAGGAAGGUCAGGAAGAACAUGGCCUGGCCACAUGUUUUUCAAAGAGUGUCUCUGCUGUCCCAGUUCAGCCAUCAUCACGUUGUAGUGUUCCUGCUCACUUUCUUCAGUUAUUCGUUGCUCCACGCUUCACGAAAAACAUUUAGCAAUGUCAAAGUCAGUAUCUCUGAGCAGUGGACCCCAAGUGCUUUUAACACGUCAGUUGAGCUGCCUGUGGAGACAGAGUCUCACUCUGUCGCCCAGGCUGGAGUGCAGUGGUGCGAUCUCGGCUCACUGCAAGCUCCGCCUCCCAGGUUCACACCAUUUUCCUGCCUCAGCCUCCCGAGUAGCUGGGACUACAGGCGCCCACCACCACUCCUGGCUAAUUUUUAAAAUAUUUUUAGUAGAGAUGGGGUUUCACCAUGUUAGCCAGGAUGGUCUGGAUCUCCUGAC